rnacentral:rRNA from 1 species
GCUAGGGGGUCAUCCCGACUUACCAACCCGAUGCAAACUGCGAAUACCGGAGAAUGUUAUCACGGGAGACACACGGCGGGUGCUAACGUCCGUCGUGAAGAGGGAAACAACCCAGACCGCCAGCUAAGGUCCCAAAGUCAUGGUUAAGUGGGAAACGAUGUGGGAAGGCUCAGACAGCCAGGAUGUUGGCUUAGAAGCAGCCAUCAUUUAAAGAAAGCGUAAUAGCUCACUGGUCGAGUCGGCCUGCGCGGAAGAUGUAACGGGGCUAAACCAUGCACC